rnacentral:rRNA from 1 species
UACGGAGGGUCCAAGCGUUAUCCGGAUUUAUUGGGUUUAAAGGGUGCUCAGGCGGGCCAUUAAGUCGGCGGUGAAAUUUUGCAGCUCAACUGUAAAAGUGCCUUCGAUACUGGUGGUCUUGAGUGUGGAUGAGGUAGGCGGAAUUUGUGGUGUAGCGGUGAAAUGCAUAGAUAUCACGAGGAACUCCGAUUGCUAAGGCAGCUUACUAAGCCAUAACUGACGCUCAAGCACGAAGGCGUGGGGAUCAAACAGGAUUAGAUACCCCUGUA